rnacentral:sRNA from 1 species
UAGCCUCCAGUGAUCUCUUCCCCGGUCCCUUUAGCUAUACCCUUGCCCUCUCAAUGAAACAACAAUUUUGAUGCCCGACAAGCCCUUUCUUUUGUCAUCCACAAAUUUCGCGCAUCAAUUGGCUUGUAACAGCAUUGGGCGCCAUUUCCUGCUUGACGAAGAUGAUAUCGGCAGCUAAAUCCCUUUGGCGCUCGCCUCGCAUUCUGCAUGCAUACAUUCAUGCCUAACCCACUCUAUACUGGCGAUAAUACUCUAACCCAACCCCGCGACGAAGACGAACAUGUCCUCCUUUAUUCUAUUUUCGUCGUCUUCUGCUCCAAUGCCAUUUGCACAUGGAGAUAAGAAGGAGAAGGAGAAAUCGAGGGUGGGGUAAAGAUGAGCCGAGUGGAUUCUGAACUAGAAAAAGGGAAGCAAGAGAAAAAAAGAAAGUAAACCGCCCCUCACCGCAGCCUCCUCUGACAUCAUGAGGUAUUGCGCAUGCCCCGCUCCUAAGCCAAAAAAUUAAAAGAUGUAUCAGAACUGUGAGCAUGCCCCACUAUGUUGAUAGGCAUCAUCAUCCUGACACAUUGUCAUUCGCCCUGGGUAAUUCAGUACCUCGUUUCUACCUAUACGGAGAGACACAUCACUCAUGCAGAUUACACAUGUGAAUAUCUAUUUUUUCUUUCAUUUAAUGCAAUCCCAGGGCCGGGGGAGUGGCUUAAGAAGCACGAUUGACAUGUCUUCUGCACCACCUUAAACUAAGGAGAGUAUAUUGCACUCUUUCGCUGGCGAUCCUUUUUAUUCCCCGCAAUUUUGUGCAUCGUAUGGAGAAACGGGAUUUUUCUUCUCCCCUCUGUUUUUCUUCUUCUCGCUAUUGCCGAAACAACACAGCAGCAGCAGGGAUUUGAACCCUUGACAGCGUGACGGCUCUUCUGCCGCUGCUGUUACUUGGUGGAUGAUGUCACAAUAAAGGACCCGGCUAGACUGCCUGCAGAGAAGUAUACUGUGCAUAUACAUUUAUUUACCUUAAAUGCAUGAAAUGUCUAUACUCUGCGAAUGCGUAGUACAUUUGGGUUAUGAUUGGGCAAUACGGUAAUUUGCUUAAGUCUUGCUCCUUUGGAUCACAAAUUUGGGUAGGUUUCGAGCUGCGGAAUGAGUUGGAGUGAAUAUUUCUUAAGAUGUACUGUGAUAUGAGGAAUUUAUUAUUUUAUUAGAAGGGCCAACGCAAAGCGA